rnacentral:rRNA from 1 species
UGGUGGGUUGCCUUGUCAGGUUGAUUCCGGUAACGAACGAGACCUCAGCCUGCUAAAUAGUCCACGGCUACUUUUUGUAGUCGGCAGACUUCUUAGAGGGACUAUUGUCGUUUAGGCAAUGGAAGUGUGAGGCAAUAACA